rnacentral:rRNA from 1 species
UAAGCAUAUCAAUAAGCGGAGGAAAAGAAACCAACAGGGAUUGCCCUAGUAACGGCGAGUGAAGCGGCAACAGCUCAAAUUUGAAAUCUGGCUCUUUCAGAGUCCGAGUUGUAAUUUGCAGAGGGCGCUUUGGCGUUGGCAGCGGUCCAAGUUCCUUGGAACAGGACGUCACAGAGGGUGAGAAUCCCGUACGUGGUCGCUGGCCUUCGCCGUGUAAAGCCCCUUCGACGAGUCGAGUUGUUUGGGAAUGCAGCUCUAAAUGGGAGGUAAAUUUCUUCUAAAGCUAAAUACUGGCCAGAGACCGAUAGCGCACAAGUAGAGUGAUCGAAAGAUGAAAAGCACUUUGGAAAGAGAGUCAAAUAGCACGUGAAAUUGUUGAAAGGGAAGCGCUUGCAGCCAGACUUGCCUGUAGUUGCUCAUCCGGGCUUUUGCCCGGUGCACUCUUCUGCGGGCAGGCCAGCAUCAGUUUGGGCGGUUGGAUAAAGGUCUCUGUCAUGUACCUCCUUUCGGGGAGGCCUUAUAGGGGAGACGACAUGCAACCAGCCUGGACUGAGGUCCGCGCAUUUGCUAGGAUGCUGGCGUAAUGGCUGUAAGCGGCCCGUCUUGAAACACGGACCAAGGAGUCUAACAUCUAUGCGAGUGUUUGGGUGUCAAGCCCGAGCGCGCAAUGAAAGUGAACGGAGGUGGGAACCCUUAAGGGUGCACCAUCGACCGAUCCUGAAGUCUUCGGAUGGAUUUGAGUAAGAGCAUGGCUGUUGGGACCCGAAAGAUGGUGAACUAUGCUUGAAUAGGGUGAAGCCAGAGGAAACUCUGGUGGAGGCUCGCAGCGGUUCUGACGUGCAAAUCGAUCGUCAAAUUUGGGCAUA